rnacentral:rRNA from 1 species
CCUACGGGUGGCAGCAGUGAGGAAUAUUGGUCAAUGGGCGUAAGCCUGAACCAGCCAAGUCGCGUGAGGGAUGAAGGUUCUAUGGAUCGUAAACCUCUUUUAUAAGGAAAUAAAGUGCGGGACGUGUCCCGUUUUGUAUGUACCUUAUGACUAAGGAUCGGCUAACGCCGUGCCAGCAGCCGCGGUAAUACGGAGGAUCCGAGCGUUAUCCGGAUUUAUUGGGUUUAAAGGGUGCGUAGGCGGCCUUUUAAGUCAGCGGUGAAAGUCUGUGGUUCAACCAUAGAAUUGCCGUUGAAACUGGGAGUCUUGAGUAUGUGUGAGGCAGGCGGAAUGCGUGGUGUAGCGGUGAAAUGCUUAGAUAUCACGCAGAACCCCGAUUGCGAAGGCAGUCUGCUAAGCAAUGACUGACGCUGAUGCACGAAAGCGUGGGGAUCAAACAGGAUUAGAUACCCGAGUAGUC